GAUCAUAUAGCUCAGUGGUUAGACCACAAGGUCAACACCCAGGAGACUACUGGUUCAAUUCCACCUUUAGUCA